rnacentral:rRNA from 1 species
UACGUAGGUGGCAAGCGUUGUCCGGAAUUAUUGGGCGUAAAGCGCGCGCAGGCGGUUCCUUAAGUCUGAUGUGAAAGCCCCCGGCUCAACUGGGGAGGGUCACGCGAUACUGAUCGACUCGAAGGCAGGAGAGGGUAGUGGAAUUCCCGGUGUAGUGGUGAAAUGCGUAGAUAUCGGGAGGAACACCAGUGGCGAAGGCGACUACCUGGCCUGUUCUUGACGCUGAGGCGCGAAAGCUAGGGGAGCAAACGGG